GUGUUUGGAAUAGGAAAUGCAAAAGUAUGGUUGGACGGCGUUAAUUGUAGAGGACAUGAGGAUUCCUUGUUAGAGUGUACACAAUUAGUUGUGGGAUCCAGCACCUGUAGUGAUAGUAGAAACGCCGCAGUCGUUUGAUAUAACACAGGGAAUGAUGUUGUCAGAUUGGUUAAUGGUAGUUCUGAACAUGAAGGCAGGGUUGAAGUAUCGAUAGACGGUCAGUGGAGAAGUGUUUGCGUAUCAUCAUCAUAUAAAAAAAAAUACGCUGAUGUGACUUGCAGAAGUCUUGGCAAUUCAGGGGGGUUUCCUGUAUCAUUAAAUGCAUUCGGAAAAGGCAAUGGACAAGUAUGGUUGAACAACAUUGCUUGUAACGGAAAUGAAGAUUCCUUGCUCUCAUGUUCGCAUACAGUCAUUGAAUCCAGCAAUUUCAAGUGUACUUACAGUGGAGAGGUCGAUGUCAUUUGUUACAAUAUAGAAAAUGGUGGGUUACAG